UGGGUAACCUGCCUCAAACUUUGGGAUAACCCUCGGAAACGGGGGCUAAUACCGGAUACGACUUUCGGCUGCAUGGCUGGGGGUGGAAAGUUUUUCGGUUUGGGAUGGGCUCGCGGCCUAUCAGCUUGUUGGUGGGGUGAUGGCCUACCAAGGCGACGACGGGUAGCCGGCCUGAGAGGGCGACCGGCCACACUGGGACUGAGACACGGCCCAGACUCCUACGGGAGGCAG
rnacentral:rRNA from 1 species